CCCCCGGGGACCUGGUAAGGGCCGAGGCUCGAAGAGGAAAUGGGUGGCCAUGGCAGUCGCCUAAAUGAAUAUUCCGCCGCAGAGACUUCGCCAAACAUUGGACACAGUAGGUAGAGGGGAAAAGAGGUCUCUUAACGGAGAAGAGGACAUUAACUCGGCUGCUCCCCGGAAAUGUGGCUUUAAUUCAACAUUAUUUACAACGGCAGCUUAGGAAAAACCUCACGCGAGGCGGGUCGGCGCAUAGCAUUGUGGGAAAUGUAGUUUGGUGGCCUCGACUUUGUGGUUUAGGUGGAGGCGUGCGGGAGGGGAAGCGAGCGGGAAAGGGGAGACUCAGACCCAGGAGAUGGGGUGGCAAGAGGAAUGAAGUGCGAAGAGCAGUGCAGAACUUUCCGUAUCCUUAAACCAAUCUGGACCUUCAUUUAUCUCGGCUGGCAUACGGAGAGGCCAGUAUUAUUCCUCACCACAUACCCUUGUGAGGACCUGGAAGAAUUACCGAUGGUAACAAUGUGCGUUCAUGCUAUUGUCCAGUGAAGGAGCCAAAAGCAAGGAAAGAGGAGAAGGAGUAAAAGAAGGAGGAGUAAACAGACCUUGACUCUGUCCCAGCUGCAGGUUGUGGAGCCAUAGAUCGCACCAGACAUUGGAGGGGAUUUGGUGCCCUGAAAACCCUGUGCAAGAGUAUGCUGGGGACCACCUCCUACAGAAGGGAAGGGAAGAGAGCAAAGUUGGAAGGAAGGAGAGGUCCAGCUGUGGUGUGGGUCCAAUAACAGAGUCUUGGCCAAUGCCCUUCAGAAUCGCCCUGAAUCGGGCAAGAUGGUCAGGCUUCUAUAACCCCACGUGGAUUGUCACCAAGGUGUGAGUAGGAUCGUGGCUGAGGCAGCUGUUUGCAUUCAGAAAAUUCCUGAAAGGGUUGGGAGAGCUGAGAGACAGCUGAAGAAGACUCUCAACCAAUAGCACUCCCAGGUAGGAGGGCGACAUGUCCUUCAUUGAAGGAGAUACGGCCUGCAUCUGGGUAGUGCAUCACAAUACCCACCGGAUGCCCCUUUCUGGGAGAAAGUCUGAUAAGAAAGCAAGAAUCAGGCCUCAGCAAAACCAUAAAGAAGACAGCUUGGUUUGAGUGUCCCUCUUAAGAUUCCCCUUCUUGUGAAGACUGACUCCUUUCCUUUUCCCUAGAAAGCCAGUGCUUUCAUGCUGCCCUGUGCUGGAUCCCGCCAUUUUCUCACCACCUCUAGGAACUUCUGCAGACAUUGUCCUGUUUCUCAGGGAUUAAAUACACUAGGACUUUG